rnacentral:rRNA from 1 species
UACGUAGGGCGCAAGCGUUGUCCGGAAUUAUUGGGCGUAAAGAGCUCGUAGGCGGCUUGUCACGUCGGUUGUGAAAGCCCGGGGCUUAACCCCGGGUCUGCAGUCGAUACGGGCAGGCUAGAGUGUGGUAGGGGAGAUCGGAAUUCACGGUGUAGCAGUGAAAUGCGUAGAGCUCGUGAGGAAGACCGGUGGCGAAGGCGGAUCUCUGGACGGCCCCUGACGCUGAGGCGCGAAGGCUAGGGGAGCAAACGGG